rnacentral:rRNA from 1 species
CUCAGUUCGGAUCGGAGUCUGCAACCCGACUCCGUGAAGCUGGAUUCGCUAGUAAUCGCGCAUCAGCCAUGGCGCGGUGAAUACGUUCCCGGGCCUUGUACACACCGCCCGUCAAGCCAUGGGAGCCGGGAGUGCCUGAAGUCCGUGACCGCGAGGAGCGGCCUAGGGUAAGACCGGUGACUGGGGCUAAGUCGUAACAAGGUAAC